ensembl:lncRNA
GCAGAGGCAAAGUCACCGUUCAGUCAGCAUCGCGGACAGCCAGGCCCCGGGCGGCAGGACACGCUCAGCUCCAGCAGCAGAAGCGCUGAUGACACCGAGAUGGACUUGGUGAAACUCGGCAGCUGACUCUGGCUAUCACGUCUCUGAGUAGUGUUGGGCCAAAAGUAACGAAAUCUGCGAGGACCAGGAGACCGACACAUAGGGACUGAGAUGCCAGCCCUGGGCUGAAUGGCUGGGCAGAGCCAAGACUCGCUCCUCCCUGGCUCCUCCCUGGCUCCCCAUCCCUCUCGCCACUGCGUGUGCUGGCUCCUCCGCAGGCCCCUCAUUCACCACACUGGGCCCCUUCAUCCUGCUGCUUGGAAGCCCUGGACCCUCUUCUCCAGGCUGCCUGCUCACUCCCAGGGCACCUGCUGGUGGUCACCAUGACAGGAGGCACUGAGCCAGGCAUGAGUGGGCAUGGCUGGGUCACCUGGCUCCUCCUGGGGGAGACACCAGCCCCUACUCCCCCGGUCUCCUCUGUGGUGUGCUCUCCACCUCUGUGCCCCCAACACUGAGCCAAGAAGUCCGCUCAGGGGCUUUUAGUCUCCACGGCCACCCCAGGAGGUGGGCAAGUUAGUGACGAUCGUCCCUGAGGUGGACAAGAACGUCCCUGAGGUGUAUGAGGCAUCAAGCCCAGGGAGGGCAUGCGACACACGAGGCCACACGGCCAAUCCUGGAGGAGCUGGUGCCCAGUUUCCGGCACCCUUGGGCCACAAGGUACAGCCUCCUUUGGGUCUGGGGGCAGGGCUUUUCCAGUGCAGGGUGUGGCCUGGCCCUCAGGGCGUCCCUGCCCUGGGGAAGGCAGAAUGGUCUGCUCCUCUCCCCGCCCUGGCUCAGGGACCUUGGGGGACCCGGUGUCCUCCCCAGGUCUGAAAAGCAUGAGAGAAAACAAGCCUGAGAGGUCAGAUUCCUUCUCCCUCUUCUACCCAGGAGGCUGUGUGGUCACCUCAAAGGGGUCCUGCAUGGGAACCAAGGGUGGCAGGUGCUACAGGCCCCAGUUCUGCUCCAGUGUUGAAGGCCGGGGGGCCUUUUCUGCCACACCCUGGGCGUGUGGGGCUGAGUGUGGUGCACUCUGGGGCCAUGGGACUAGGGUGACGUGGCGUAGCCAUAGCACCUCCAUCCCCACAUGGCCUGCCCCACAGGCCUCAGUCACCCAUCUGGGAAAGGGGCUCCUCACCUGCCAUCAGGGUGGGAGGAGGACAGGACCCCUCAGCUGGGUGCUGCCCACCACAGAGACACCGUGCAGGUCAAGACAGAGGAGUGCUGGGCCCAGGCUGCCCACCCUGAGAGUGCUGUCACCUGGAGAGACCGAGGAGGGGAAAGUGAGCUGCACCAGGACCUCAGGUCCAUGCUUGUCCCCUGUGCCCUGCUGGCUGGGACAAGGACUGUCUGGGCACCCCUGCCUGCUCCCCACCCGCACUCGUCCCUCUGCACGGGAGCCUCGCGCAGCAGGGCCAGGGCAGCUGCCACUUGCACACAGAAACUGCCCGCAGAAUGACAGUUGCCAUGGCAAUGCCACACUGGGCGGGGGAGGGCAGGGCUUGCCGCCUGCACCGGCUCCUCCUGCUCAGUGCCGUCCCAGCCCGGAGAAGCCCAGGCAGGGGCUAGGAUCACUUGGCCCCGCAGGCUGGUGAGGGCCCCACCCAUGCAGACCCCAGGCCGCCCUGCCCCUGGGGCCUCAAGCAGAGGGAGGAGAGGGAACAGGGGAUGGGGAGCUGAGCCGACAAGCUUGUCUCCGUGCCUGUCCCAGGAAAGAGCCAUCCACAGUCACCCUGGUGACACAGAGGCCGCCACCCGCUGUGCUCAGCCCUGGCCUUCAGGCUCUGGCGAACCUGAGCCUGCUUCCAUUCAUCUGCAAAAUGUGAAGAGGGAGAAGCUCCAGCCCCGUGCAGAGCUUCGACCCACGCAGCCCCGGGGUGCAGCCCUGAGUCCAGGCUCACAGGGCCCGGCCAGCACCCUCAGGAGCCCCUGGCUCCCACAGCUGUAACCUCACUGGGCCUCAGCUUCCUGGCGCUGCAGCGAGGACAUCUGCUGGCCCAGCCUGUGGUGCCGAGGUGCUGAGAACUGAGGCGGACAGCACCUGGCACCCAGGCUCCUCACCCCAACCAGCACAGGACCCAGUCAUCAGGUCCCCAUUCACGGGCUCGUGGGAUGUCAGGGCCCAGGCCACACAGCCGAGACGUGAGCCCAAGGCACCUGCGGAGGCAAUGAAGGGAAGCAGCACUGGUGUCUGGGGCCUGACGCCUCCCUGGGCGGGAGUGCCCUCCAUUGGCAAGUGUGCCGAGAGGUGACACGCAGCCCCAAGAGCCCAGGAAACUGAGUCACAGCUGAGACUGGCCGAGGGCCUGCGGUGCACCCAGUGCUUCUUAACCCGGCUCGUCCUCCACACCCACAGGAAGGGUUCGCCCUCUGCUUCCACCAGGGGGAUGGAGAGAUCAGGGCAAAGCCUGGGGCGGUGCACCCAUCGUCCCAGCACUCUGGGAGGCUGAGGCAGGAGGACGGCAAGCUCCAGGGCAGCCAGGGCAGCUCGAGGACUUCAACAAGGCCCUGUCUCAGAACAGGAAAUGAAAACAGGGCUGGGCAUGCGGCUCAGUGUGAAGGCCCUAGGCCCAGUCCCCAUACUGAAAAGUAGAUAAAGCCCACCUCCUCUGCUACACACACUCAUACUCGCAUGUGUGCACACACAAGUAAAUUCAGCCUUGUGCAGCCUGUUGUUAGCAGGGUUUUGUGAUUUUUAAAAAAUGGUCAGAAAUAAACAGGGACCGUCCAGGCCAGAAGGGAGGGACCAGACUUGGGGGGAGGCUGGGCAGGUCUGCAGGAGAGAGGCACACAGGGUCUUGAACAGGAAAUGCAGGGCAAGGAAGACAGCAGGAUGGACACCGGGAAGGCCAGG